CUUGGUUGAUCCUACCAGUACCAUAUGCUUGUCUCAAAGAUUAUGCCAUACAUGUCUAAGUAGGCAGGGCCGGUACAGUGAAACUGCGAAUGGCUCAUUAAAUCAGUUAUGGUUCUUUUGGUCGCUCGCUCCUCUCCUACUUGGAAAACUGUGGUAAUUCUAGAGCUAAUGCAUGCCGAAGGGUGCUGACCCCCUUCGCGGGGAAGAUGCCUGCAUUUAUCAGAUCAAAACCAACCCGGUCAGCCCCUCUCCGGCCCCUGCCUAGGGGUCGAGUGCCACCGGCUUUGGUGACUCUAGAUAGCCUCGGGCCAAUCGCAUGCCCCCCUGUGGCAGCAACGACCCAUUCGAACGUCUGCCCUAUCAACUUUCGAUGGUAGUCGCUGUGCCUACCAAGGUGACCACGGGUGAAGGAGAAUCAGGGUUCGAUUCUGGAGAGGGAGCCUGAGAAAUGGCUACCACAUUCAAGGAAGGCAGCAGGCAUGCAAAUUACCCACUCCUGACUCGAGGAGGUAGUGAUGAAACAUAACAAUACAGGACUCUUUCGAGGUCCUGUAAUUGGAAUGAGUCCACUUUAAAUCCUUUAACGAAGAUCCAUUGGAGGGCAAGUUUAGUGCCAGCAGCCGCGGUAAUUCCAGCUCCAAUAGCGUAUAUUAAAGUUGCUGCAGUUAAAAAGCUCCUAGUUGGAUCUUGGGAGCGGGCGGGCAGUCCGCCAUGAGGCGAGCCACUGCCCGUCCCCGCCCCUUGCCUCUUGGCGCCCCCUCGAUGCUCUUAGCUGAGUGUUCCGCGGCCCAAAGCGUUUACUUUGAAAAAAUUAGAGUGUUCAAAGCAGGUCCAAGCCGCCUGGAUACCGCAGCUAGGAAUAAUGGAAUAGGACCGCGGUUCUAUUUUGUUGGUUUAUGGAACUGAGGCCAUGAUUAAGAGGGACAGCUGGGGGCAUUUGUAUUGCACCGCUAGAGGUGAAAUUCUUGGACCGGCGCAGUUUGGACCAGAGUGAAAGCAUUUGCCAAGAAUGUUUUCAUUAAUCAAGAAUGAAAGUCGGAGGUUCGAAGACGAUCAGAUACCGUGGUAGUUCUGACCAUAAACGAUGCCGACUGGCAACGUGGCGGUGUUAUUCCCAUGACCCGCUGGGCAGCUUCCAAGAAACCAAAGUCUUUGGGUUUUUAGGUUCCGGGGGGAGUACGGUUGCAAAGCUGAAACUUAAAGGAAUUGGUGGAAGGGCACCACCAGGAGUGGAGCCUGCGGCUUAAUUUGACUCAACAUGGGAAAAAUCCCCCGGGCCGGACAGGGACAGGAUUGACAGAUUGAUAGCUGUUUCUCUGUUCCAUGGGUGGUGGUGCAUGGCCUUAGUUGGUGGAGUGAUUUGUCUGGUUAAUUCCAAUAACCAACGAGACUCUGGCAUGCUAACUAGUUACGUGACCCCCGAGCGGUCGGCG
rnacentral:rRNA from 1 species